rnacentral:rRNA from 1 species
UGACCUCGGAUCAGGUAGGAAUACCCGCUGAACUUAAGCAUAUCAUAGGGAGAGGAAAUCAUUGAGCGAGAUUUCACUCCCAAAGCUGUGGAAAACACAAUGUGUAGCCCCCGCGCAUCAACCUCCGGAUCAGACGGGUGGGCUGCCAAGACUACAUAAACUGUAUAUGGAGGUAGAAACUCCGCAGUUAAAACCACAAUGUAACAUACUAUUCGACUACGGAUCUCUGGCUUCUCGCCUCUAUAAGAAUGACAGCACAAGCGAUAAGUAGUGUGAAUAGCAGAAUAGAUUGCAUGCAUCGAACUCUGAACGCAAUGGGACCUCCAUGAUAUGGCUGAGGCCUGGCCGAGGUCUUAACUCUACGAGGCUGUGGGAACGCGCAUCUCAAUGAUGGCGGUGACUACGCAGCUACGAGGAGAUUUUACUCGAUGCAGUGAACGUACCCACUCCUCC